rnacentral:rRNA from 1 species
AUUGAACGCUGGCGGCAUGUCUUACACAUGCAAGUCGAACGGUAACGGGCCUUCGGGUGCCGACGAGUGGCGAACGGGUGAGUAAUGUAUCGGAACGUACCUUUCAGUGGGGGAUAACGUAGCGAAAGUUACGCUAAUACCGCAUAUUCUGUGCGCAGGAAAGCAGGGGAUCGCAAGACCUUGCGCUGAUUGAGCGGCCGAUAUCAGAUUAGCUAGUUGGUGAGGUAAAGGCUCACCAAGGCGACGAUCUGUAGCGGGUCUGAGAGGAUGAUCCGCCACACUGGAACUGAGACACGGUCCAGACUCCUACGGGAGGCAGCAGUGGGGAAUUUUGGACAAUGGGGGCAACCCUGGUCCAGCCAUGCCGCGUGAGUGAAGAAGGCCUUCGGGUUGUAAAGCUCUUUCGGCUGGGAAGAAAUCGUAUCAGCUAAUACCUGGUGCGGAUGACGGUACCGGCAUAAGAAGCACCGGCUAACUACGUGCCAGCCGCCGCCGUAACAC